rnacentral:lncRNA from 1 species
CCAGCAUCCAAGGAGAGUGUGGGCAGCUGGAGCCAGGUCCUCCUCCUCCUCCUUCUCCUCUUCUUCCUCCUUCGUUUCUUCCUUUCCUCCUCCACCUGCCUAUUGCAGAGCAGCAGAAAGCAAAGGAGCUAGAAAAGGUUAGCACUGCCUCUAAGGUCUCCUGCAACUCACCCACCCACCCCUCUUACUCCAUGGUAUUCAACUUCUAAACUAAGAGGAAAGCCCGAGCUAGAGGUCCUAUGCAUCAAUCAGGGAAGAGAUAUUGAGAAGAAUAAACAGAGAAACUGUAUUUUUUCUCUCAACUAAAACAUCCAUUUUAAUCAAUAUUUGGCAAGAAAAUAUAUACCUGUUUCAUCUUCACUGGUUAUUUCCAUAAACUGGAAAGAAGGACUGUCUAAAUGGUAGUUAUGUCCCAUGAGAUGUUUAAGCAAAAGGGAAAAUUAUACAAAAAAGAAUGCCAUAUUUUGUCUGCGCCACCAGAAUGACAAUAAAA